rnacentral:rRNA from 1 species
AGCGCAGGCGGUUAGAUAAGUCUGAAGUUAAAGGCUGUGGCUUAACCAUAGUACGCUUUGGAAACUGUUUAACUUGAGUGCAGAAGGGGAGAGUGGAAUUCCAUGUGUAGCGGUGAAAUGCGUAGAUAUAUGGAGGAACACCGGUGGCGAAAGCGGCUCUCUGGUCUGUAACUGACGCUGAGGCUCGAAAGCGUGGGGAGCAAACA